ensembl:lncRNA
UCUGAACCAUCUGGUCCAAACUACAGCAUCCAGUCUCAUAGCAAUAAUAAUAAUAAUAAUAAUACAUUUUAUAUAUAACACACUCUUCAUCUUCAUCAAAAGAUCUCAGAGUGCCACAGAGCCAGCAAAACACAGUUAAAGAUAGUAAAAACAGGAACAACUUAACACAGAUGCUGGUUUUGAUCCUUGUUUGAGCAGUGAGGAGGAUUCUGUUCUGUUCUUGAAUUUACCCUCAGGGAUCAAUAAAUGGAGCUGUGAUUGGAUGAAUGAUCAUCGAUGGUCGUGGACGUGUGAUUGUUUAAAGCUGGGAAACAAGAUGGCGCCUGUGUGAGCAGGCAGAGAGGAGCUGCUGUUGGUCUGAAUGAUGAAGAAGAGGAGCUCAGUCUGAUCUGGGGUCUGUGAGGACUGUUACUGAUGAGGAGGGGAAGGUAGCAGACGGAGGGGCACUAGGACCCAGCAGGGACCACAGAGCUCACCUGGGCCUUUGUUCCUGAAACACACCUGAGAGACUCUGUUUGUCUCACCUGCUGCUUCAGUCCUUUAAGUCCACGAAGCUUCAUGUUUAUUUCUUCAUCUGCUUUAAACACAUUUAGUCACUUUGUUGUGACUGUGUUUGUUUUC